GAUGAACGCUGGCGGCGUGCCUAAUACAUGCAAGUCGAGCGAACGGACGAGAAGCUUGCUUUUCUGAUGUUAGCGGCGGACGGGUGAGUAACACGUGGAUAACCUACCUAUAAGACUGGGAUAACUUCGGGAAACCGGAGCUAAUACCGGAUAAUCUUUUGAACCGCAUGGUUCAAAAGUGAAAGACGGUCUUGCUGUCACUUAUAGAUGGAUCCGCGCUGCAUUAGCUAGUUGGUAAGGUAACGGCUUACCAAGGCAACGAUGCAUAGCCGACCUGAGAGGGGGAUCGGCCACACUGGAACUGAGACACGGUCCAGACUCCUACGGGAGGCAGCAGUAGGGAAUCUGCCGCAAUGGGCGAAAGCCUGACGGAGCAACGCCGCGUGAGUGAUGAAGGUCUUCGGAUCGUAAAACUCUGUUAUUAGGGAAGAACAUAUGUGGAAGUAACUGUGCACAUCUUGACGGUACCUAAUCAGAAAGCCACGGCUAACUACGUG
rnacentral:rRNA from 1 species